UACGAAGGGGGGCAAGCGUUGUUCGGAAUUACUGGGCGUAAAGGGCGCGUAGGCGGCUUAUCAAGUCAGGCGUGAAAUUCCCGGGCUCAACCUGGGGGCUGCGCUUGAUACUGAUUGGCUUGAAUGCGGGAGAGGAUAGUGGAAUUCCCAGUGUAGAGGUGAAAUUCGUAGAUAUUGGGAAGAACACCGGUGGCGAAGGCGGCUAUCUGGCCCGUAAUUGACGCUGAGGCGCGAAAGCGUGGGGAGCAAACAGG
rnacentral:rRNA from 1 species